rnacentral:lncRNA from 13 species
UUCAUUUUAAAAUAUUAUUAAGAAUUUUUAUAUUUAUAUUAAUGAGGUAUUAAUCUGUGGGGUUAUUCUUUUUGGUUACAUCUUAGUCUGCUCUUGGUAUCACAGUAUUGAUAUCCUCAAAAAAUGGGUUGGCAUGUGUUAUCUUCUCUAUUUUCUAACUGUGUCUAUGAUUAGUAGUAUUUGUUUCCCAAAUACUGUAUAGAAUUUAUGAGUGAAGUAAUCUGGGCCUGAAGUUCUCUUUAUGAAGUCUUAAAUUACAAAUUCAAGUUCUUCAAUAACCAGGGUUAUUCUGAUUUUUCUAUUCUUUUUGUGCCGCUUUAGGUAAUUUGUGUCUUUCAAGGAAUUUGUCCACUCACUCUAAAUUGUCAGAUUGACUGUCACAAUGUCAUUUAUCAUAGUCAAGUAUUAUUUGUUUAAUGUCUGAAGAAUCUAUAGGAAUUCCUUUCUUUAAAAUCCUAAUGCCGGUAAUUCAGUUCUGCUUUCUGUUUUUCCUAAUCAAUCUAGCAACAGAUUUCUAAUUUUUUAAUCUUUUCACAGAAACAGAGAAAUAUGGAGGUCUCCAGCACUAAUUGUGGAUUUGUUUUUCUUUUUGCUUCUGGCAAUUUUGUUUCAUGUAUUUUGCAGCUCUGCUUAUUAGGGCAUUUGGCCAUAUAUGGAGGCUGUUUUGGUUGUCACAACUACAUGGAGGGUACUACUGCAUCCAGUUGGUAGAAGUCAGGAAUGCUAAUAAACAAUGCACAUAACAGCUAUGCA